rnacentral:lncRNA from 1 species
CCAACUACAGGGACAUGGGAAAAGCAGAACAAAGAAAAUAAUACAAAGGCUGGCACAGAAGAUUGCAAAAUGCAUUAAAUAAAGAGGCCUUUUUGGUCUGUGUUCUAAUUAAAAAGAAAGAGUAAGCCUCUUAUUUCUGGUGUUGGAACUCUCCCUCAGUAAUCAUGGUCUCAGAUCCCUAGAGAAAUGAGCUUAACAGUGGGGUUUCAACCAGCAGAGAAAAGAAGGUGGUGAUAUGACAGCUCAAGCUCGGGCUGACAGAGUAAACU